rnacentral:rRNA from 1 species
UGGGAAUUUUGGACAAUGGGCGAAAGCCUGAUCCAGCAAUGCCGCGUGUGUGAAGAAGGCCUUCGGGUUGUAAAGCACUUUUGUCCGGAAAGAAAUCCUUGGCUCUAAUACAGUCGGGGGAUGACGGUACCGGAAGAAUAAGCACCGGCUAACUACGUGCCAGCAGCCGCGGUAAUACGUAGGGUGCAAGCGUUAAUCGGAAUUACUGGGCGUAAAGCGUGCGCAGGCGGUUUGCUAAGACCGAUGUGAAAUCCCCGGGCUCAACCUGGGAACUGCAUUGGUGACUGGCAGGCUAGAGCUAUGGCAGAGGGGGGUAGAAUUCCACGUGUAGCAGUGAAAUGCGUAGAGAUGUGGAGGAAUACCGAUGGCGAAGGCAGCCCCCUGGGCCAAUACUGACGCUCAUGCACGAAAGCGUGGGGAGCAAACAGGAUUAGAUACCCUGGUAGUCCACGCCCUAAAACGAUGUCAACUAGUUGUUGGGGAUUCAUUUCCUUAGUAACGUAGCUAACGCGUGAAGUUGACCGCCUGGGGAGUACGGUCGCAAGAUUAAAACUUAAAUGAAUUGACGGGGUCAUAGCUG